rnacentral:rRNA from 1 species
UACGAAGGGGACUAGCGUUGUUCGGAAUCACUGGGCGUAAAGCGCACGUAGGCGGAUAUGUCAGUCAGGGGUGAAAUCCCGGGGCUCAACCUCGGAACUGCCUUUGAUACAGCAUAUCUUGAGUCCGAUAGAGGUGGGUGGAAUUCCUAGUGUAGAGGUGAAAUUCGUAGAUAUUAGGAAGAACACCAGUGGCGAAGGCGGCUCACUGGUCCGGUACUGACGCUGAGGUGCGAAAGCGUGGGGAGCAAACAGG